AUUAAUUCUUAUGUUAAGCUUUGACAGUUUUCGGCGUGCAUAGUGGGAGCUUAAAGUGCACGGGCUGCUCUUUUUUUCUUUUUGAGCAUUGACAUUUUUGCCUAAAUGAUGAAAAAGACUAUGUCCUCUCUGAGCAUUUAUUCUCUGCUAAUUUUUCAAUUUUAGUUUUCCUUUGUGUUUCCUUUACUAUCUUCAAUUUUUCCUUCGUUUAGACUUGGACAUGAAAAAUACAGAUCUCUUAUUCAUGCCAAGUUGAAUGAAUGUACGCUCUCUCCUAGUAAUUAACGCCUCUACAUUGAAGUUACUAAUGUAAAAGUAAAAGAAAAAAAAAAGAGAAACUUAAGCUUAAUUAUUAGGGUAUUAUCAUCUGUAUACUUGUCUUAUUUUGUGAGGAUUUUGGCAUCGUGCCAAGUUGUUUAGACCAGAUCUUGUUGCUCUAUAUGGGAAGCGCUGGGAAGAGAGUUGUCAAGGAUCAUUCUUAUGUGAAAUGUCCCUCUUAAUUUCAUUUACACCGCGUAACCAAGAAAAAGCCAUCUCUUAUUAGUGGUGGAGGCAGGACUUUUGCUAAGGGGUCCAAAAAAGGAAUAAGUUAAAAGAUUUAAUGAGAUUGUAGCUAAUGGGAAUUAAAUCAAUGACCUCACAACGGUUUUGAACACUAAGUCGUACUUUUGGGCUGUGUGAAGGGGUUUCAAAACAUAAUAUAUAGUUGUAAAAAUCAGAUUUUGCCUUAUAUACACAAUAUAAUGUUUUGGCGAAGGGGGUUCGAGUGAACACCCUUGUGCCUCCUGAAUCCGCCCCUGCUCUUACUAGUUCUUCUACUAUAGUUGAUGCAUAUUAGUUGUUCGAAAUAUGAUGCAGUCCUAAUGCGUUUAUUGCACUUUCCUGUCUAGAUAACUUGGCAGUUUAUUUUGAGGAUUUCUCCUUUGCUUUUCUAUUAGCUCGAUUUGGCCAUUGAUACAUUGUCAUUGUUGAAGUUGUUCAAUUCUUUGUUCGUUGUUCUUAAACUCAAGUAAAUUCGUGGAAUCGCGAGGAAGAGCAUGAAUGGUCAGAAACAUGCAAUCUCUAUUUCACAAUCAGGUACUAAUUUGUUGGUGAGGUUCCAACCAUCUAAGUACUAGCUUGGUCAGAUGCGGGACAAUCAAUGUUUUUGAGUUCCAACAAUUUAAGUGGUCCUAUAUUUCGAGUUUGUCAACUUUGAGCCUCUUGAAUUUGUCUUAUAACAAUUUAACAGGAAAGAUACCUGUGAGCACUCAACUUCAAAGCUUUAAUCCUUCAAGUUUCCAAGAAAAUAAAUUUACGGGUUUCCACUCUCGGUGAGCUGCAGUUCAGGUGGUCAAAUUCCUGAUGUCUAUACUGAAAAAGAUGAGAGUGAUGAAGAUGAAUUGGAUUGGUUCUACAUUUCAAUGGUAAUAGGAUUUGGUCUAAGCUUUUGGGGAGUAUGUUUGUCUUUGAUUUUCUAGAGAUUAUGGUGACAUGCCUAUUAUCGUUUUUUAAAUAGUAGUUGGGAAUACUCAACUUGUCCGAAAAAUGUAGAACCAAUCCAAUCCAAUUCAUCUUCAUCAUUUGGGAACAGUCAUCUAUUUUUUAUUGAAGGAAAAGUACAUCAUACAAUAAGACUUUUGAGAAUAACAAUCUCCUCAACCUAUCCCUUCCUCUAUUUAUAACUUUGCACAUAAGGUUUUCCAACUACUAUCUAAAAAACGAUAAUAGGCAUGUCUCUUUGAUUCUUGAAAAUCAAAGAACAUACUAUUCCCCAAAAGCUAAGACCAAAUCCUAUUGCCAUUGAAAUGUAGAACCAAUCCAAUUCAUCUUCGUCACUCUCAUCCUUUUCAGUAUCGACAUCAGGAAUUUGACCACCUGAACUGCAGUUCACCACGAGUGGAAGCCCGCAAAGUUUGUUUCCUUGGAAACCCGAGGGAUUAAAGCUUUGAAGUUGAGUGCUCACAUGUAUCUUUCCUGUUAAAUUGUUAUAAGACAAAUUCAAGAAGCUCAUAGUCAACAAACUCGAAAAGGUUUGCAGGAUUUGACCAGAGAGUUGAUUUAAUUGAAAUAUAGAAUGAAGGAGAGACGUCUCUAAUCUUGUGUUGGCUUUGCCAACUAAUUAUGGACUGCUCUGGCAUGUUGUAUAUGCACCUAACCAGUAGUAAAUUAGGCCUUUUGUACUCUGAUUCUAUGUUUUUGCCUACAGAAUGUUAAAGACAGACAUAAUUAUUCGACUUCUGUAUUGAAAAUUUUGAUUUGUUGGAUAAGA